UGGAAUGUUUGAACCCAAGGGGCUGUAUUCACGCGUGCCUGGUCCUUGUUUGGCUGCCUUUCUUUUAAGCCACGAUGUCUUCCCAGUAUCUUCCCAAUCUCCGGUUUCGUCUCCCUGCGCUCCUUCUUCUUUUGGAAGCUGCUUUAAUCCUUAUAUUUGGCUUCUUCGUUUCUUAUGACCACAGUCAAAAUCUUGCCAGAGACUACCCAGUAUUUCAAGAUGUCAGCCUCAUGGUGAUUUUUGGGUUCGCCUAUUUUCUGGCCUUCCUGCACAGAUACGGCUUCAGCAGCAUCGGGUUCAACCUUCUCCUUGCUGCCCUUGGAGUACAGUGGGCAGUGAUCGUCGAUGGAUUCCUCUUUCACUUCUCCGCUGGGAAAAUAAGGAUAAAUCUGCAAAGCAUUUUAACUGCCAUUAUGAGCAUCACCGCAGUGUUGAUUUCAACCGGAGCAAUACUUGGCAAAGCCAAUCUCAUGCAGUUGAUCUGGAUGGCUAUGAUAGAAGUGACCGUCUUCACCGUCAACAGAUGGCUGGCUGUGAAUCUUUUGCAGAUCGAGAGCCACGUCAGUGUGAUGCACGUCCACUUGUUUGGGGCCUACUUUGGCCUAAUGGUCUCCUGGACGCUCUACCACUCCUCAUUGAGUCGGAAAGCUGAGAAGGAAAGAUCCAGGCCCAUCUCGGAUAUGUUUGCGGUGCUGGGUACCCUCUUUCUCUGGGUCUUCUGGCCCAGCUUCAAUUCUGUCCUGAUCCCGGAAGAAGACAAAAAAUGGACUGCCGUCUACAACACCUACUUUGUCAUGGCCACCAGCACCAUUGCCGCUUUUUCUUUCUCAAUGGCAACCAGCAAAAAUGGAAAACUCAGCAUGGCUCAUAUCCAGAAUGCUACACUGGCAGGUGGGGUUGCCCUUGCCUUCUCUGCUUCCAACAUCCAACAGCCUUGGAUUGCAAUGGUUUUGGGUCUGGCGGCAGGCACGAUUUCUGUCCUUGGCAUGGCCUAUUUACAGAAACACUUGGAUCCAGCACUCCAAAUCCAUGAUACUUGUGGAGUCCUUUACACUUUCGGCUUGCCCAGUUUGCUUGGAGGGAUAAUCCACGUUAUUCUCAUCCUAACCAACCACAGCAAGAGCCUCUCAGUAUUUGGUUAUUCAGCUUUAAUUGAAGUUGGUGCACUCAGCUUGAGCCUAUGCUUCAGUCUGUUCAGUGGUCUGCUUACAGGUCUCAUUUUAUCUUGCAAAUUAUGGAAAACACCUCCUGUAACAAAGUACUUCGAUGAUCAAGUUUACUGGGAGUUCCCCCACUUAGCUGUUGGAUUCUGAAUACCAUCUUCAGGAGGGCACCAAGUUACACAGCUAAGAGACUUUCUCCUUGAUGCAACAAGAAUGCAUGAAAAAGAGACUUAUUUACUUUAUUAAAUUUACCAGAAUAUUUGAUGUUUCACUAUAUAAAAUAUAUCUGAAAUAUGGACAUGCAGCAGAGUUAGUAAAAUAGCAAGUUUAGUGUGUGCUUGUAAAAAAGCUUAUAUUAUUAGCAUAAAUGUCUCUCUCAUUUCUUCAUUUUCAAAAUCAAGUAUCACCCCCAUUUCUUUGGACAACUAAGGAUUUCUUAGGUAUAUAAGCUAUCCUUAUCUUGAAAAAGUCUAGGAAAAAAUAAAGAGGUACAGCCUUGUCCUGAAUCAGAUUGAAUAUUUUUAUAGAUGCAGGAUGCAAGGGGUUAACCUAAGAUUUUAUUUUAUUAAUAUAUCUUUGAAUAAAAAUAUGUUCUUAGUGUAACUUCGGAAAAACUUUAAUUCAUCAGAUUCUGUUGCUGGUUCUUGUUUGAUAGUGUUAUUUGAUUUGUUUAGUUAUGCUUUUAUACUUUUAUUGGGUAAAGAUUUAUAUUUACUGCCCAUCUCUGACAUUACAUUUUUAACUAGGGUGGUUGUUAUGUAUCUCAAUAAAAGGCACUCUAUAAAUACAUUUUUAUGAUUAGUUUUGUUGGCUCAGUAAGCAUUUUAUUUUAACUGGCAUAAAAGAGAACAAUGAUAUAAAUACCCCAAAUAUUUUAAAGCAUUCUAAUUUUAUAAGUUUUAUGGUAAUGCUCCCACAUAUCACAGCUAAAAUUUAUAUCACUAACAUAAAUUGGUUCAUUUUUACCACUGCCUCUAAUCUUUUUUAACAACCACUUACACAGGGCUUCCAAAAAUA